AUACGGGGGGAGCAAGCGUUGUUCGGAUUUACUGGCGUAAAGGGCGCGUAGGCGGCCACCGCAAGUCAAUUGUGAAAUCUCCGGGCUUAACUCGGAAAGGUCAACUGAUACUGCGGGGCUAGAGUGCGGAAGGGGCAACUGGAAUUCUUGGUGUAGCGGUGAAAUGCGUAGAUAUCGAGAGGAACACCUGCGGCGAAGGCGGGUUGCUGGGCCGACACUGACGCUGAGGCGCGAAAGCUAGGGGAGCGAACGGG
rnacentral:rRNA from 1 species